UACGGAGGGUGCAAGCGUUAUCCGGAUUCACUGGGUUUAAAGGGUGCGUAGGUGGGCAGGUAAGUCAGUGGUGAAAUCUCCGGGCUUAACCCGGAAACUGCCAUUGAUACUAUCUGUCUUGAAUACCGUGGAGGUGAGCGGAAUAUGUCAUGUAGCGGUGAAAUGCUUAGAUAUGACAUAGAACACCAAUUGCGAAGGCAGCUCACUAC
rnacentral:rRNA from 1 species